rnacentral:rRNA from 1 species
UACAGAGGGGGCAAGCGUUGUUCGGAAUUACUGGGCGUAAAGGGCGCGUAGGCGGCCUGUUAAGUUGAACGUGAAAUCCCCGGGCUCAACCCGGGAACUGCGUCCGAUACUGGCAGGCUUGAAUUCGGGAGAGGGAUGCGGAAUUCCAGGUGUAGCGGUGAAAUGCGUAGAAUAUCGGAAGGAACACCAGUGGCGAAAGCGGCUUCCUGGUACCAGCACCGACGUUCAGGCACGGAAAGCGUGGGAGCAAACAGGG